CAUCCCUCUCCCCCCGCAUCCACAUCGCGCAUCGACGGCAACCGCACGUCGAGGAGCUCCGCGACAGCCGCGCAACUUCGCCCGCCGACCACGGCAUCCAUCGCCUGCAUCGAAGGUUGUCUCGCGAUGAAUAUUCCCGCCGGUCCCGCGGCGGCCUCGGCUGCAGGACGACGACAGGUCCCUGGCGGCGGACGCUGAAGUAAGAGGACCAGGCCCCAACGACGGUGGCCUCGAGCGCAGGGAUAAGCGCAGGGACGCCUGACGUGUCCUUUGCCGCCGCGCGCUAUCUCUUCCGACCGGUGCUGGGGAUCCGGGUCCUCCUCAUCCACGGCGGCCCCGCGCCUCGCGCCCCUUCCGGCGGUCUGGGUGAAGGUGGACGGGCCCAAGAAACAGGGGAGCAGUCGACGCCGACGCCUCCCAAAUCCAUGGCAAACCGCGGCGGCGCGGCGCGGUGGUUCUUAGAGGACGAGGAAGCAGGCGGCGACAACGGAAUUGAGGCCGGCGGAGGCUCCGUCUCCACACGCGGUGGUCGUGGUGAACGCUAGGUGCCCCUGCUCCUUUCUCCUCGUAAGGACAACACUGCGCCCAUGGCCUGCUAGUCGUGCCAACACGGCCGAUGUUGGCCCCAUCCCCUACGUACAGGUCUUCGAGGUGUUCCACUGGAUCAACGACACGGGCGCAAGGUCAGCAGACCGGCUGCGAGGCAGGUGACAGAGAGUGUGAUAGAGAGGUACUGGCAGCAGCCUCCACCGACGGGCAGCUCGAUGUGAGUCUAGUGCCCCACUGUAUACCUAACUUUUUCCAGCAAACUUGGGCAAUUUUUCCAUGGUUCCAUAAAAUGCUGCUAUGCCUUCGAAUUUUGCCAUGUCUCCAAUUCUGUUUGUCAUGCCAGAAUUGCCAUGGUCAUACGGUGAAAACAAAUCCUGUUGUUUUUUGUUAUUUUCUUGCCAUGUAUAAAUAUGUGUCAUGUAUCCUCAUUUUUACAUGUCUUUCACAUUUUUUUUGCCAUGGCAAAUUCCUUUAUCUUCUGAUUUUUACAACUUAAGAUUUGUUGUUCUCAUGGCAUAGUAUAUUCUAGAUUCAUGGAAAAACAAUAUGCUAACUAAGAUCAAUAUGCACGACAACUCUCUUGCACAGGAUUCAAUAAGAAACAGAAUUGCCAUGUUUCAUUAAUUAUUUUUGCCAUGGCAUACCAAGUGAAUUUGCCAUGGACCAUAACAAAAGUAGUUUGACAUUGUCUACGAGAAAGAAAUUUUGCAAAGUUCAUGGCAAUUUUCAUCUCUGUCCUUGUUCACAAAACAACGACAUUUUUUACUCUAUAUGACAACAUUUAUGUGAUUUGCAGUGUCACUUUUAUCUAAAAACAUGGCAAACUUGCCAUGGCAACUUUGCCAUGUUCAAAAACAUGACAAACUUAUAGAUGUUCAAAAACAAGGCAACUUAAAAUGUUCAAAAACAUGGCAAACUUGCCCAUGACAAACUUAAGAUGUUUGUGGCAAAUGUAUUAAUGGGGCAUCGCAAUUGUAGUUCAUGGGACAUGGCAAAAAUACUUUUCUUCACAGCCAAAAGUGGGAUUUUUCUACGUUCUUCUUGCCAUGGCAACUUUACUUUUAAUGACAUGGCAAAUUUUUACUUUAUUUUUUUACAUGGCAAUUUUAUUGUAUAAACUAUGGCAAUUUUAUUUUUAAAUAUGAUGGCAAAUUCACAUUUCCAUAACAUGAAUUUUUUUAACAUGUAGCAUGGCAAGUAUACUUGUGUAGCCAUGGCAAUUUUCAAUUUAUUUCCAUGCCAAAAUUUAAUCAUUUUUGCCAUGGCUUACUUUUAGUGACAUGGCAAAUUUUACUUUAUUUUUUGCCAUGGCAAUUUUUAUUUAAAUAUGGUGCCAAAUUUACAUUUUCCGAAACAUAGCAAAUUUUACUAUGUGGCAUUGUAAAUAUACUUGCGUUCCCAUGGCAAUUUGUAAUUUAUUUUCCAUGGCAACAUUUAAUCCAUUUUUGCCAUGGCAACAUUUAAUCCAUUUUUGCCAUGGCAAAAAUACUUCUAUUCACAUGGCAAAUUUAGUUUAAUUUGCCAUGGCAAGUUUUUCUGCUUUUUCACAUUUGUGUAUUGAAAGAUGGCAAAGUUAAGAAUUUUUGAACCAUUGACAUGUCACUGCUCAGAAUUAUUUUAUACAUGCCCAAUGGUAAUUUUUGUAGAAAUCUUUUUUGUCCUAUCCUAUAUGUCCAUUUUUUGUGCUUUUCUCAUUUUUCAUUAUAUCAUGGCAAACUUUUCACACUCAAUUUUAUUUAAGUGCGUAUGAACAUCAUGGCAAAUCAUGUAAAUUUCUGUAAUAUACCUUUUUUCAUGAUUAUAUGGUGGUUUUGUUCAUUAGAACAUGGCAACCUUUUGUUCCUAUAUUUGUUCUAGGGAGGGUUUUUCUUGGUCCAGUGAUUUUUUAGGCCUUUUUUGUGUUUUCUAUAUUUGUUGGGACAGAAGCAGUUUUGGUCCUAGAAUAGUGUAAUUCUUUUUGUUUUUAAUUUUUUUGAAGGCAAUCAUGUAUUUAGGCUGGUUACCCCGCAAAAGAAAUGUAUUUAGGUUGGUCCCAUUGGGCUGGCUCGCUAGAGGGGAAGGAGCAGGUCGUUCGGAGGGAGGGAGAUCGUACCGAACGAAAUCGUUCGGGAGCUCGCCUCUCAUGGACCGAACAAUAUGUUCGAUCUCGCUCCUUCCCCCCGAACGUCCGCGCGAUAUCGGGGUUGAAUCAAUAACUCCCGAACGUCUGGAUUUUAGCAUCUCCUGCCGAACCAUCUCGUUACCGUCGCACGAAUCUUGGUAGACUGCGCUUGCCACAUCAUCACUGGGAAUCGUCCGGGAGGAAGCCAAAGUCACCCGAACCACUCACUCGCUCUCCUCCUUCAUUCCCCACUCUCUUAUCCACACUACACAACACCAGAUGCCAGCGUUGGCAGGCGGCGAAGGCCUCCGGCAGUCGGAGCAGGUCGCCGGGCGUGGGGAUGGUGAGCGGCAUGGCUGGGCUCCAGCGACGGCGGGUGUCUCCUCCAGCGCAUCCCCACCAUGGACGGCCGACCCCGAACUCCUUCGACGCCGCAUCCCUGCCAUGGAUGGCCGGCCCCCAAAUCCUCCGAAGCCGCAUCCUUGCAAGUAAGCCAACGCUGCAUCCCCGCCAUGGACGGCCGGCCCCAAACUCCUCCGCCUGGGACCUUCGGGUAGGCGGGAUGGGUUCGAGGCCGCGGUGGUGGCCGGAGGAGAUCCAGUGGUGCCCCGGUGGUAGCGACAGCGAGGCCAUGGCACUGGCUAUAGGAGGCGUUCCAUGCGAGAUCCUUCCCGAGAGCGACGGGCUGCUAAGGCUCUUCGUCUGGUCCCGCUGCUCAUGGAGCCGCCCGCCUUCGAGUCCUUGGUGCCACACUCCCCCUGCUUCGCUUUCAACAGCGGAGGGGACGGUGGAUCGCUGCCUGCUGACGGCGAUGGCGCGUGCCUCGACAACGGGCCGACGAGGACCCGAGCCGCUGUGCCAUUCAAGCCCUCUUCGGCUGCUCCGACCGCCUCGACCAAGCGGUCAUGGUCGCGGCGGCCGCCGCCCGGGUGAUCGCGCUUGUCGUCUACGUCCAGCUCUUCAGCGUGGCCAUCAACUCGCUCUCAUUGGCACCUGCUAUCUGAACCAUGAAGCAGCAGGUGUGCGCUCCCUAGCGAAUAGUAGCCAUCGAUAGGUUAUUCCUGGUAUUGUUGUGAGGAGUUUGAAGGAGUUUGUGACUUUUCCUAGAACUGGCAUUUUAACUAUUGAAGUUACUCUAGAAUUUGGUGAUGAUGAUAUAUAUGUGAGCACUCCUUGCUCCUACUUCAUUGGUUUGGGUAAUAGAAUGGUGUUCAAACAGGAAGGUUUCAGUGAUUUUCUCCAGGCAUCGUCUCUUGAAGUAAACAGCCAGGUGCUGAUAACUUUCAAACAGCGUGUUGGGAGGCUUGUUGUUAUCUUCAAUCUUCUGCCGCAGUGAUGUUAAUUAUAGCCUUUGAACAUAAUGGAUUUUGUUUAAAAAUCUAUGCUGCGGUUUAAUGUUAUUUAGAUAUAUGAGAUGGCAUGAACCUAACUGUUCAUUGCUGUUGUUCGUUUGUAGAAGAGGCAUGGUUGUGCAUCUCUUUUAAAGAUGUUUUUUGGACGGAUGUUAUUUAAUUGUGGUCAUAGUUAUAAAUACAGUAGAGGCACGUGUG